GACGAACGCUGGCGGCGUGCCUAAUACAUGCAAGUAGGACGCAGUUGCGAACGGGUGAGUAACGCGUAGGUAACUGCCCAUUAGAGGGGGAUAACUAUUGGAAACGAUAGCUAAUACCGCAUACUAGUAGAUGGACCUGCGUUGUAUUAGCUAGUAGGUAGGGUAAUGGCCUACCUAGGCAACGAUACAUAGACGACCUGGGAGGGGGAUCGGCCACACAUGGACUGGAGAACGGCCCAGACUCCGACGGGAGGCAGCAGUAGGGAAACAUCGGCAAUGGGGGGAACCCUGACCGAGCACCGGCGCGUGAGUGAAGAAGGUUUUCGGAUCGUAAAGGUCUGUUGUUAAGGAAGCGGUACUUAACCAGAAAGGGACGGCUAACUACGUGCCAGCAGCCGCGGUAAUAC
rnacentral:rRNA from 1 species